GUCCACGCUGUAAACGAUGUGUGCUGGAUGUCGGGGGUAUUCACCCCUCGGUAUCGAAGCUAACGCGAUAAGCACACCGCCUGGGGAGGUACGGCCGCAAGGUUGAAACUCAAAGGAAUUGACGGGGGCCCGGCACAAGCGGUGGAGUAUGUGGUUUAAUUCGACGCAACGCGAAGAACCUUACCCAGCCUUGACAUCCCUGGAACCCGAUGGAAACAUCGGGGUGCCCUCGCAAGAGGGAGCCAGGAGACAGGUGCUGCAUGGCUGUCGU
rnacentral:rRNA from 1 species